AACAUGUCCUGAAGAUAAUAAUUUUAGGUCUGAUCUGCUCCAUGAUUGAAAAAUUAAAUAGCUGCAGGAUAUAUUGUACAAAGGUAGCAUAAUCAAUAGUUUUUUAAUUGAAAGCUUGAAUGAAAGAUUUGAUAAGGUAAAUAUUGUCUCAAAAUUAUUAGAUUUAAAAGUUUAUUUUUAGUUAAAAAUCUAAAAUGAAUUUAAAAGACGAGAAGACCCUAUAGAUUUUUAUAUUUUUUAUUAAUAAUAUAUUUAAAUUAUUAAAUAAAAUUUUAUUAAAAAAUAUUAGGUUGGGGAAAUUAUUAAAUUAAAGAAAUUUUAAUAAAUAAAUAUAAAACUUUAAUUAAAGAUUAAAUGAUCUUAAUAAUUUAGAUUGAAAGAGUAAAAUACCUUAGGGAUAACAGCAUAAUUUUUUUGGAUAGAUCUUAUUGAUAAAAAAGUUUGUGACCUCGAUGUUGAAUUAAGAUUAAAUAUUAAAGAAGAAUUUAAUAAAUUUUGGUCUGUUCGACCAUUAAAAUCUUACGUGAUCUGA
rnacentral:rRNA from 1 species